rnacentral:rRNA from 1 species
UACGUAGGGUGCAAGCGUUGUCCGGAAUUAUUGGGCGUAAAGAGCUCGUAGGCGGUCUGUCGCGUCUGCUGUGAAAACUCAGGGCUUAACCCUGAGCUUGCAGUGGGUACGGGCAGACUAGAGUGCGAUAGGGGAGACUGGAAUUCCUGGUGUAGCGGUGAAAUGCGCAGAUAUCAGGAGGAACACCGGUGGCGAAGGCGGGUCUCUGGGCCGUUACUGACACUGAGGCGCGAAAGCGUGGGGAGCGAACAGG